GAUGAAGAACGUAGCGAAAUGCGAUAAGUAAUGUGAAUUGCAGAAUUCAGUGAAUCAUCGAAUCUUUGAACGCACAUUGCGCCCGCCAGUAUUCUGGCGGGCAUGCCUGUCUGAGCGUCAUUUCAACCCUCAAGCUCUGCUUGGUAUUGGGCCCCGCCAGUUCUGGCGGGCCCUAAAGUCAGUGGCGGUGCCUUCCGGCUCCGAGCGUAGUAAUUCUUCUCGCUCUGGAGACCCGGUUGUGUGCUUGCCAACAACCCCCAAUUUUUUAAGGUUGACCUCGGAUCAGGUAGGGAUACCCGCUGAACUUAAGCAUAUCAAUAAGCGGAGGA
rnacentral:misc_RNA from 1 species